rnacentral:rRNA from 1 species
AUUGAACGCUGGCGGCAGGCCUAAUACAUGCAAGUCGGGCGGAAACGAUGGAGCUUGCUCCUGGCGUCGAGCGGCGGACGGGUGAGUAACGCGUAGGAAUCUACCCAGUAGAGGGGGAUAGCCCGAGGAAACUCGGAUUAAUACCGCAUACGCCCUACGGGGGAAAGGCUGGGAUCUUCGGACCAGUCACUAUUGGAGAAGCCUGCGUAAGAUUAGCUUGUUGGUGGGGUAAAGGCCUACCAAGGCGACGAUCUUUAGCUGGUCUGAGAGGAUGAUCAGCCACACUGGGACUGAGACACGGCCCAGACUCCUACGGGAGGCAGCAGUGGGGAAUAUUGCACAAUGGGCGAAAGCCUGAUGCAGCCAUGCCGCGUGUGUGAAGAAGGCCUUCGGGUUGUAAAGCACUUUCAGUUGUGAGGAAAGGGUGUUGGUUAAUAGCCAACAUCUGUGACGUUAACAACAGAAGAAGCACCGGCUAACUUCGUGCCAGCAGCCGCGGUAAUACGAGGGGUGCAAGCGUUAAUCGGAAUUACUGGGCGUAAAGCGUUCGUAGGCGGUUUGUUAAGCAAGAUGUGAAAGCCCAGGGCUCAACCUUGGAACUGCAUUUUGAACUGGCAAACUAGAGUACUGUAGAGGGGGGUAGAAUUUCA